rnacentral:rRNA from 1 species
AGAGACCGGCGCACGGGUGCGUAACGCGUAUGCAAUCUACCUUUCACAGAGGGAUAGCCCAGAGAAAUUUGGAUUAAUACCUCAUAGUAUAAUGAGUUGGCAUCAACACAUUAUUAAAGUCACAACGGUGAAAGAUGAGCAUGCGUCCCAUUAGCUAGAUGGUAAGGUAACGGCUUACCAUGGCAACGAUGGGUAGGGGUCCUGAGAGGGAGAUCCCCCACACUGGUACUGAGACACGGACCAGACUCCUACGGGAGGCAGCAGUGAGGAAUAUUGGACAAUGGGCGCAAGCCUGAUCCAGCCAUGCCGCGUGCAGGAUGACGGUCCUAUGGAUUGUAAACUGCUUUUGUACAGGAAGAAACACUGGUUCGUGAACCAGCUUGACGGUACUGUAAGAAUAAGGAUCGGCUAACUCCGUGCCAGCAGCCGCGGUAAUACGGAGGAUCCAAGCGUUAUCCGGAAUCAUUGGGUUUAAAGGGUCCGUAGGCGGUUUAGUAAGUCAGUGGUGAAAGCCCAUCGCUCAACGGUGGAACGGCCAUUGAUACUGCUAAACUUGAAUUAUUAGGAAGUAACUAGAAUAUGUAGUGUAGCGGUGAAAUGCUUAGAGAUUACAUGGAAUACCAAUUGCGAAGGCAGGUUACUACUAAUGGAUUGACGCUGAUGGACGAAAGCGUGGGUAGCGAACAGGAUUAGAUACCCUGGUAGUCCACGCCGUAAACGAUGGAUACUAGCUGUUGGAAGCGAUUUCAGUGGCUA